rnacentral:lncRNA from 1 species
CAGGUCUGAUGUGAGGUUCACAGAGCUGUCGUCUAAGGAGCUGGGGCAAGGGAAGAGUGUGUGCUACCAAACAGGUCCAAGUCUUCUACUGGGAUUACUUUUGAAUAGCAAGAAUAACUAUGCCAACCUAUCUCCUCCCAACCAUGCUCCACUAAUGCAAAAUCAGUAUUGGGCAACCCUGAGAACAGUCAUGAGCAUGGCUGUACAUACAAGCCAAGAAUGCUCAUAAGAGUGACAAGUCAGAAAGAAGGAAGAGAGUUCUGUCCUCUGGGAACUGGACAUAGUCUAGGACAAUGAUCAUCUGUGUACAGCUUUUAGGAAAAGAUGAAGCUGUCUAAAAAUUGAUCCAUCCAUUAGGAAAUUCGGCAAAGAAAUUUUAAACAGUGGUAAGUAAUGUUGGUCCAAGAUCUAAACAGCACUAUCUGGGGUUGAGUUUUUCUAAUUCACAUGUGUAGUUUAAUCUGCCAAAAAAUUAACAUUAAUAUAUAAUGUUGUCUUCAUCAUAAUUAUCUUCCUCAUCAUUAUCUUUUGUGGUGUGUGUGUGUGUGUGUGUGUGUGUGUGUGUGUGUGUAUGUGUUACACACACUGUGGUUUUCUG